UACGGGGGGGGCAAGCGUUGUUCGGAAUUACUGGGCGUAAAGGGCUCGUAGGUGGCCAACUAAGUCAGACGUGAAAUCCCUCGGCUUAACCGGGGAACUGCGUCUGAUACUGGAUGGCUUGAGUUCGGGAGAGGGAUGCGGAAUUCCAGGUGUAGCGGUGAAAUGCGUAGAUAUCUAGAGGAACACCGGUGGCGAAGGCGGCAUCCUGGACCGACACUGACGCUGAUGAGCGAAAGCCAGGGGAGCAAACGGG
rnacentral:rRNA from 1 species